UACAGAGGGUGCAAGCGUUGUUCGGAAUCACUGGGCGUAAAGCGCACGUAGGCGGACUCUUAAGUCGGUGGUGAAAUCCUGGAGCUCAACUCCAGAACUGCCUUCGAUACUGAGAGUCUCGAGUCCGGGAGAGGUGAGUGGAACUGCGAGUGUAGAGGUGAAAUUCGUAGAUAUUCGCAAGAACACCAGUGGCGAAGGCGGCUCACUGGCCCGGUACUGACGCUGAGGUGCGAAAGCGUGGGGAGCAAACAGG
rnacentral:rRNA from 1 species